rnacentral:rRNA from 1 species
AGGUCUUGACAUCCCUCUGACCGCUCUAGAGAUAGAGCUUUCCUUCGGGACAGAGGUGACAGGUGGUGCAUGGUUGUCGUCAGCUCGUGUCGUGAGAUGUUGGGUUAAGCCCCGCAACGAGCGCAACCCCUAUUGUUAGUUGCCAUCAUUCAGUUGGGCACUCUAGCGAGACUGCCGGUAAUAAACCGGAGGAAGGUGGGGAUGACGUCAAAUCAUCAUGCCCCUUAUGACCUGGGCUACACACGUGCUACAAUGGCUGGUACAACGAGUCGCAAGUCGGUGACGGCAAGCUAAUCUCUUAAAGCCAGUCUCAGUUCGGAUUGUAGGCUGCAACUCGCCUACAUGAAGUCGGAAUCGCUAGUAAUCGCAGGUCAGCAUACUGCGGUGAAUACGUUCCCGGGUC